rnacentral:rRNA from 1 species
CAGCAGCCGCGGGAAUACGAAGGGGGCUAGCGUUGUUCGGAUUUACUGGGCGUAAAGCGCACGUAGGCGGAUCGAUCAGUCAGGGGUGAAAUCCCAGAGCUCAACUCUGGAACUGCCUUUGAUACUGUCGAUCUGGAGUAUGGAAGAGGUGAGUGGAAUUCCGAGUGUAGAGGUGAAAUUCGUAGAUAUUCGGAGGAACACCAGUGGCGAAGGCGGCCCACUGGUCCAUUACUGACGCUGAGGUGCGAAAGCGUGGGGAGCAAACAGGAUUAGAUACCCCAGUAGUCCCUGUCUCUUAUAC